UAGGGAAUUUUGCGCAAUGGGCGAAAGCCUGACGCAGCAACGCCAUGUGUGGGAUGAAGCUUUUCGGAGUGUAAACCACUGUCGGCAGGGAAUAAUAGGCAGAUUUAAUACAUUUGUUUUGAAGGUACCUGCAAAGGAAGCCCCGGCUAACUUCGUGCCAGCAGCCGCGGUAAUACGAGGGGGGCAAGUGUUGUUCGGAAUCACUGGGCGUAAAGGGAGCGUAGGUGGGAUAGCAAGUCAGGUGUUUAAUCCCGGGGCCCAACCCCGGAUUUGCAUUUGAAACUGUUAUUCUUGAGUAGGCUAGAGGUAGACGGAAUUCUUGGUGUAGCGGUGGAAUGCGUAGAUAUCAAGAAGAACACCAGAGGCGAAGGCGGUCUACUGGGGCACUACUGACACUGAGGCUCGAAAGCGUGGGUAGCAAACAGG
rnacentral:rRNA from 1 species